rnacentral:lncRNA from 1 species
AUAAAGUUUUUUUUCAAUUACAAAAGAAGUCUUUUUACAACAACUAAUAGACACGUUCCAUCUAAUUUUUACUUUUGUUAUCAAUUGAAAAUUGUGGUAAUAUUGAUACAGGAGCGUCAACUACAUCAAGUGUCAGUUGAUAUAUAUGUUUUGGUCAAAUACAUGUUUGUAUUUGCUCCUCCAAAAUUUGAAAGUCUGUGAUUCAAAAUUUCGCUUUUCCCAAAACAAAGUUAAAGAAAAUAUAUGAAGUCAAUGAUAAAUCUUAAAGUUUU